CUGUGGUCAAAUAACGAUGAAAACACUGGUUCUCGCUCGGUCACUGAAGUUAAGGAGCUUCGGGACUGAUCAGUAAUUAGAUGAGUGACCGAUUGGGAACACUGGAUACUGUAA